rnacentral:rRNA from 1 species
AUUGAACGCUGGCGGCAUGCUUUACACAUGCAAGUCGAACGGUAACAGGCCUUCGGGUGCUGACGAGUGGCGAACGGGUGAGUAAUGCAUCGGAACGUGCCCAGAUGUGGGGGUUAACGCAGCGAAAGCUGUGCUAAUACCGCCUGUUAUCUCAGGCUGAAAGCGGGGGACCGAGCAGCAAUGUUUGGCCUCGCGCCUUUGGAGCGGCCGAUGUCGGAUUAGCUAGUUGGCGGGGUAAAGGCCUACCAAGGCGACGAUCCGUAGCUGGUCUGAGAGGACGACCAGCCACACUGGGACUGAGACACGGCCCAGACUCCUACGGGAGGCAGCAGUGGGGAAUUUUGGACAAUGGGCGCAAGCCUGAUCCAGCAAUGCCGCGUGCGGGAAGAAGGCCUUCGGGUUGUAAACCGCUUUUGUCAGGAACGAAACGGUGUCCGCUAAUACCGGGCGCUAAUGACGGUACCUGCAGAAUAAGCACCGGCUAACUACGUG